rnacentral:rRNA from 1 species
GAUGAACGCUGGCGGCGUGCCUAACACAUGCAAGUCGAACGAAGCUUGAUGAAUGAUUUCUUCGGAAUGAAUUCUGAUAUGACUUAGUGGCGGACGGGUGAGUAACACGUGAGCAACCUGCCUUUCAGAGGGGGAUAACGGCUGGAAACGGUCGCUAAUACCGCAUGAUAUGUUUGGAUGGCAUCAUUUGAACAUCAAAGAUUUAUCGCUGAAAGAUGGGCUCGCGUCUGAUUAGAUAGUUGGUGAGGUAACGGCUCACCAAGUCGACGAUCAGUAGCCGGACUGAGAGGUUGAACGGCCACAUUGGGACUGAGAUACGGCCCAGACUCCUACGGGAGGCAGCAGUGGGGAAUAUUGCACAAUGGGGGAAACCCUGAUGCAGCAACGCCGCGUGAAGGAAGACGGUUUUCGGAUUGUAAACUUCUUUUCUUUGUGAAGAAACAAAUGACGGU